rnacentral:rRNA from 1 species
UACGUAGGGGGCAAGCGUUGUCCGGAAUUAUUGGGCGUAAAGCGCGCGCAGGCGGUUUUUUAAGUCUAGUGGAUAAUCCACGGGCUCAACCCGUGUUCGCACUGGAAACUGGGAGACUGGAGUGUAGGAGAGGAAAGUGGAAUUCCACGUGUAGCGGUGAAAUGCGUAGAGAUGUGGAGGAACACCAGUGGCGAAGGCGGCUAUCUGGACCGACAUUGACGCUGAGGCGCGAAAGCGUGGGGAGCAAACAGG